rnacentral:rRNA from 1 species
ACCAGACUCCUACGGGAGGCAGCAGUGGGGAAUAUUGCACAAUGGGGGAAACCCUGAUGCAGCAACGCCGCGUGAGUGAAGAAGUAUUUCGGUAUGUAAAGCCCUAUCGGCAGGGAAGAAGCAAGACGGUACCUGACUAAGAAGCCCCGGCUAACUACGUGCCAGCAGCCGCGGUAAUACGUAGGGGGCGAGCGUUAUCCGGAUUCACUGGGUGUAAAGGGAGCGUAGACGGCCAAGCAAGCCAGGGGUGAAAGCCCGGGGCCCAACCCCGGGACUGCCCUUGGAACUGCUUGGCUGGAGUGCGGGAGGGGCAGGCGGAAUUCCUGGUGUAGCGGUGAAAUGCGUAGAUAUCAGGAGGAACACCGGCGGCGAAGGCGGCCUGCUGGACCGCUACUGACGUUGAGGCUCGAAAGCGUGGGGAGCAAACAGGAUUAGAUACCCUCGUA